rnacentral:lncRNA from 1 species
GGGGAUUUGAAUGUAGGACCUCAGGUGCAGGGGAAACCGUCAAGGUUAAUUGCAAGCAAUGACCUGUUUGCCAAUGGGUACUUGCGUAAUAGGCACAAUAUGGAGAUUUAUGUUCGGUAUUUUUCUGCAUAUACAUUUGGUAGUUUUGUUCAUAAUAUGCCCAUACCUGAGCGGAGAAGUUUUGUAUCUAUAAAAUGUAGGGUUGUGAACAUGGGGAGCAUAAUCAUACAUAUCAUAUCAGAAUGAGUUGGACGUCGAGUUUGCAGGGUCAAACUUAAAGGCAACCGUAACAGAAACAUUUAUGUGAAAGCAGCUUCUUGUUUGGAAAUGAAAUCUAGUUGUGGUAGUUGGUUUAAGAUGUAUGAUCUCCUUCUUCAUUAGUUGUAGCAAAUAAGGUAACAAUAAGUUAGUUAGCCUUGGGAGGGAAGGAAUGAUGGCAAUUGGCGAGGGCUAAAGUUCUUGAAGAACAUAUUUUCCACUAUUUAAUUGAAACAUCUGUUGACA